UCAGGGUCUGAGGUUCCUGUGUAUGAGCCCGCCUACCAUCUGGGUCUGCUCAUACAGUUAGGAGUCAGGGCCAGGAUUAGGGCAUCUCUAGGAGGUGAUCUGCUCCCUUUUCCUGGUGUUCAAGCCUAGCUGCUUCCCCAUUUUGGGCACACCCA